UAAUAUAGAGGUCCCAAGCGUUGUUCGGAUUCACUGGGCGUAAAGGGUGCGUAGGUGGUCGGGUAAGUCUGAUGUGAAAUCUCUGAGCUCAACUCAGAAACUGCAUUGGAUACUAUCUGGCUAGAGGAGUGGAGGGGGGACUGGAAUACUUGGUGUAGCAGUGAAAUGCGUAGAUAUCAAGUGGAACACCAGUGGCGAAGGCGAGUCCCUGGACACUUCCUGACACUGAGGCACGAAAGCUAGGGGAGCAAACAGGAUUAGAUACCCUGGUAGUCCUAGCUGUAAACGGUGCGCAUUUGCUGUAAAAGGAAUCGACCCCUUUUGUGGCGAAGCUAACGCGUUAAAUGCGCCGCCUGGGAAGUACGGUCGCAAGAUUAAAACUCAAAGAAAUUGACGGGGGCCUGCACAAGCGGUGGAGUAUGUGGCUUAAUUCGAUGCAACGCGAAGAACCUUACCUGGCCUUGACAUGCAAGUAGUAGAACCCUGAAAGGGGGACGAGGUAGCAAUACCAGCUUACACAGGUGCUGCAUGGCUGUCGUCAGCUCGUGUCGUGAGAUGUUGGGUUAAGUCCCGCAACGAGCGCAACCCCUGUGUCCUGUUGCCACCCGAUCGAGAGAUUGGAGCACUCUGGACAGACUGCCUCGCUUAAACGAGGAGGAAGGUGGGGAUGACGUCAAGUCAGUAUGGCCCUUACGGCCAGGGCUGCACACGUACUACAAUGCCCGGCACAAAGGGAAGCAAGACCGCGAGGUGGAGCAAAUCCCCAAAAACCGGGCCCAGUUCAGAUUGUAGGCUGCAACUCGCCUACAUGAAGCUGGAAUCGCUAGUAAUGGCGCAUCAGCUACGGCGCCGUGAAUACGUUCCCAGGCCUUGUACACACCGCCCGUCACAUCAUGAAAGCCGUUUGUACCCGAAGUCGUCGUGCCAACCGCAAGGAAGCAGAUGCCGAAGGUAUGGAUGGUGAUUGGGAUG
rnacentral:rRNA from 1 species